GCCCGGAUGGCGGAAUUGGUAGACGCGCUGGUCUCAAACACCAGUAGGUUCACCCCUGUGCCGGUUCGAUCCCGGCUCCGGGCA
rnacentral:tRNA from 1 species